ACCCUACAAGAAGAAAGUAAGUUUGUGAGUGACUGUUCUGCCAAGUGGCUCUCCAUCAAGCAAUUGGCGGGACUCAAGCCUCUUGUGCUUAAGAUUUACAGUACACUGGGCACUGGAGGAAGACAGAAGGAAGAAAGGUAAGCAAGUAGAGCUAUGCAGAAAGGCACCUCUGAUCAGACUGGAAUGGAGUCAGCAUAGGAGAAGCAUCACUAACAGGACACAUGACACAUGACACCUAAUGCUAGUGGCCAUGUGGAAGAACUUUUCCAAUGAAAUCCAUAAUCACAAGUUGAUAAAAAUUUAGUGAGUAGGCCUCUUUGGGUGAGCGACUCCCAGAAAGUUUCCCAGUUCCUCUACUCUAGAUGAAUUCUCAACUGUUUCAGCAGCUGUUUGAAAACCAAAAGCAAACAGGCGGCGCCAUCCACUCCAACAAAGUUGUUGGUAUUGGGUGGGUUUUUCACACCCUCAGUUUUGUACUUCAGUGUUAAAAUUUUCAAAUAAAUACACAUUUGAAAUGUUCCAAUAACAAACAAAAAAUGCCUUACAUAACAAAAUAGCUUAAUUAACAGACUCAAAAAUAAGAUUUGAAAAAAUAAAUAAGCCUGCUUACUAACCAAGAAGGCCAUGGGACAAGCUGCUGUCAUGUCCCAACCCAUAACCCACCCACAAGACCUUUUUUCCCUUGGAAAUACUGAAGACUUAGUGUUCAUAUGUUUGAGGUAAAGGUUUUAUUUGGUAAAUUUAAAAACCAAUAAUCUAUGAAAUGAGCUAUUCACUCUAUUCUGAAUCAGGGUUAUCUGAUUCCAUGUCUAGAACAAAUGAAAUGUAAUGGAAACAAUGAGCGGUAUGCAACAGAACAAGAAAUGUAAUUUUAAAACCAACUAAUUUCAAUCAAGACAGGAAAAGAAGCCUAUGAAGAAAUAACGGUUAUCUGAUGUUAUAAUCUCCUGAUUACCAUGAGAGGCUGUUUAGAAGACAUGGUCUAACUUAACUGAUUUCAAAGCUCAGCCUCGUAACGCCACAAAAAACAAACAACAACAAAAAACAGCCUUGUGGGUGCCACAAAAGGAGGCUGCUGUGUGUGAAGACAACAGCCCUCAGUACCAGACAAGGAGGUGUUCACCACAGAAGAGUGGCGGAGGCCUGAAGCCCAGCUCGCUGGCCGGGAGAACUGGGCGCCCUAGCAGUGCAAUCACCCAGUAUCCAUACAAGUGGAUGGAACAAGUGCUGCUUCUUUGAAUAUCUGCUUCCAGCACAAACCAGCAGCAGAACUUGAGAACAGGCUCUACUGCCACCUGUUAUCCUUAUCUUUGUAAGAAAGGCAAGUGAGGAGGGAGAGGGAGCUGGGAUUGACAUGUGAAGCAAGCUUGUUUCUAAUUUAAAAUAAUUAUAUUAAAAAAAAAAAAAGGCAAGCAAUGCUUUAAAGUUUGAAGGACCAUAAUACUAUUAGUUUGCUUGUCCCAGCACAUGAGGUGCAUCUCCUGCACCUACAUGCCCAGGAAAUACUAGCUACUUCUCUUAAGGCCAGUAAGUAAAAUUAAUCUUUACCAUAAAGACAGUAGUGAUUUAUGAUUUACCUGGUUACUCGCAUCACCCAAACCUUCCUCCCAUCCAGGCUGAGACUCCCGGCCUAUUCUCACCUAAUAAACUAGGAUCUGCUCGAA